GAGCGCCCCGCAAGGGGAGCGGCAGACGGGAGAGUAACACGUGGGAACGUACCCUUCGGUUCGGAACAACCCAGGGAAACUUGGGCUAAUACCGGAUACGUCCGUAAGGAGAAAGAUUCAUCGCCGAAGGAUCGGCCCGCGUCUGAUUAGCUUGUUGGUGAGGUAACGGCUCACCAAGGCGACGAUCAGUAGCUGGUCUGAGAGGAUGAUCAGCCUCACUGGGACUGAGACACGGCCCAGACUCCUACGGGAGGCAGCAGUGGGGAAUAUUGGACAAUGGGCGCAAGCCUGAUCCAGCCAUGCCGCGUGGGUGAUGAAGGCCCUAGGGUUGUAAAGCCCUUUCGGCGGGGAAGAUAAUGACGGUACCCGCAGAAGAAGCCCCGGCUAACUUCGUG
rnacentral:rRNA from 1 species